GCGGGGGGCCGGGGCGUUAAAAAAAGAGACUAUACAUCACAGACGGAUAUUUAUAAAAGAAAAAGACUGUAAAUUAGUGUCUGAAUUACUUGAAGUAGCUUUUCUUUUUAAUAUACAAUUUUACAUUCUAAUAUAAAUUUAUAGGUCAGGUAUUUGAGUACUACAGAAGACAAAAUAAAUCAGAGUGCAAAAGGAAAAAAGAGAAUUCGAACCAAGAAUAAUAAGAAUUAUUGACAACACCCUGGCUAGAAAAUGCAUGGGAAUGGCGAUGGGAAAAAAUGUAUUCUACCAUUUGAUAGCCCAGAACGAAUAACUUUAAGAAAGUAAGUUAACAUAAUAUCCAUCCUUUAUGCUACAUCAUGUACAUCGGAUUCGAAUUUCACAGAUAUAUAUGCAUAACAUGUUUAAUACUACCGUUAAUGCUAGUGUAUUUAGAUUUGACUUUGUAUUUUUUUUCAACUAGUUUUAUUUAUUUAUUUAGAACAUUUUUUGACAAAGUUUCCUGUUACCAUUUCUACACUCAAUUGUCCUGCUUAACCUACCUAGCUUGGUGAAGUCUAACCAUUAUGUAAAGCAUGCAAUAUGCUUUUUGCCUUGGCUUGUAUCAUGGCAUAGGCUAGGGAAAAUAUUAAAAAAGAGUAUUUUUUCUAACUAUUGUACAAAAAUUUCAUGUGCCAGGACACCAGAAACAAUGUAUUUUUUUUUUUUUUUAGGAGGAUUUAAUAUAUUCUAAAUAUACAUACAUUGAGUACUCAUUUAUUCAUUAUUUUUAUACAGAGUCAGUGAAAUAACGUUUAUGAAGAUAUGCUAAACUGGAUAAAGGAUUUAACAUAAGACGGAUCCAGAAAUAGUGACAAAACAAAGUGUAGCAAAAAACAAAAGGAACACUCUUAUGAAUAAAAACCAUGUUGGAAUACAGAACUAAAAAAUGAAAUGAAUUAUCAAUGCCUUCAUACAGAGCUUGGAUAUUUCUACAUAAACUGUAAUGAUAUUAUGCAAAUGGGAUAAAUGAAUUAUCAUGAAUAGACUUUAUAAUUUUAACUCUAGAUCUGAUUUAGCAACGUAUAGAUACAUAACAGA
rnacentral:lncRNA from 1 species